GAUGAACGCUGACAGAAUGCUUAACACAUGCAAGUCAACUUGAACUUCGGUUUGGGUGGCGGACGGGUGAGUAACGCGUAAAGAACUUGCCUCACAGCUAGGGACAAUAUUUGGAAACGAAUGCUAAUACCUGAUAUUAUGAUUAUAUGGCAUCGUAUAAUUAUGAAAGCUAUAUGCGCUGUGAGAGAGCUUUGCGUCCCAUUAGCUAGUUGGAGAGGUAACAGCUCACCAAGGCGAUGAUGGGUAGCCGGCCUGAGAGGGUGAUCGGCCACAAGGGGACUGAGACACGGCCCUUACUCCUACGGGAGGCAGCAGUGGGGAAUAUUGGACAAUGGACCGAGAGUCUGAUCCAGCAAUUCUGUGUGCACGAUGAAGUUUUUCGGAAUGUAAAGUGCUUUCAGUUGGGAAGAAAAAAAUGACGGUACCAACAGAAGAAGUGACGGCUAAAUACGUG
rnacentral:rRNA from 1 species